AUUGAACGCUGGCGGCAUGCCUUACACAUGCAAGUCGAACGGUAACAGGUCUUCGGAUGCUGACGAGUGGCGAACGGGUGAGUAAUACAUCGGAACGUGCCCGAUCGUGGGGGAUAACGAGGCGAAAGCUUUGCUAAUACCGCAUACGAUCUACGGAUGAAAGCGGGGGAUCUUCGGACCUCGCGCGGACGGAGCGGCCGAUGGCAGAUUAGGUAGUUGGUGGGAUAAAAGCUUACCAAGCCGACGAUCUGUAGCUGGUCUGAGAGGAUGAUCAGCCACACUGGGACUGAGACACGGCCCAGACUCCUACGGGAGGCAGCAGUGGGGAAUUUUGGACAAUGGGCGAAAGCCUGAUCCAGCCAUGCCGCGUGCAGGAUGAAGGCCUUCGGGUUGUAAACUGCUUUUGUACGGAACGAAAAGCCUCUUUCUAAUAAAGAGGGGUCAUGACGGUACCGUAAGUAUAAGCACCGGCUAACUACGUG
rnacentral:rRNA from 1 species